rnacentral:rRNA from 1 species
CCUACGGGGGGCAGCAGUGAGGACUAUUGGUCAAUGGACGAGAGUCUGAACCAGCCAAGUAGCGUGAAGGAUGACUGCCCUCUGGGUUGUACACUUCUUUUAUCAGGGAAUAAAACGAGGCCCGUGUGCCUUUUUGCCUGUCCUUUAUGACUAAGGAUCGGCUAACUCCGUGCCAGCAGCCGCGGUAAUCCGGAGGACCCGAGCGUUAUCCUGAUUUCUUGGGUUUAACGGGAGCGUAGUUGGGUUGUUAAGUCAGUUGUGAAAGUUUGCGGCUUAACCGUAAAAUGGCAAUUGAUACUGGCAGUCUGGAGUACAGUUGAGGGAGGCGGAAUUCGUGGUGUAGCGGUGAAAUGCUUAGAUAUCACGAAGAACCCCGAUUGCGAAGGCAGCUUACUAAACUGUGACUGACAUUGAUGCUCGAAAGUGUGGGUAUCAAACAGGAUUAGAUACCCUUGUAGUC